AUGUCUGAAUCAGUAAAUCUGAAUGUUUACUACGGCGCUGGUAAUGUUCGAUAUAAUGAGUUGGGGGUUGAUCUUAGCGAGUUUAAAAAUGGCGUUAUGACACUAGCUGACCCGAACAGACUGGACAUUAGACAGUUGAAGUACUGGUUGACAACUAGUUUCGGUCUGGAUCCUGGAGUAUGUUCCGUCAGUAUUCAUGCAUUGUGGACCAAAUCUUGUAAAAAUGUCAAGUGGGAGUUGAUGCCGGUAGAUAGGAGCCAGCAUUGGUUGUCCCUGUUAAGACGCUGCCGAGACCGAAGAAUCCACCCAUAUGCACUUGUGCAACCUGUGCCGAAGGAGGAGAAUACCGUACAACUCCACAGGGGGUAUGAACCCGGCCAAGGCAGUGAAGUGGCUAACGAGAUUGUUUUAUCCGGGUCACAGCCACAAGAUGUGGAUGCUAGCCAACCGGAGAAAGAGUCAGACUACGUGCCACACAAUGUUUGUGGUCCUGAUACUGGGCAGAGUAGCCAGUCGAUAAUAUUAGCUGUUUCUGCUUUUGCUGAUGGGGAUGAGGAAGGGGAUGAAAUGCAGAGGGUGAUGGAGGAAGAGGACGAGGAUGGAUUGGUGGAGGAACUGGAUUCUGAAAAUUCUGAGGAUGAAGUUGAGGUACCGAUUCCUUCUGCAUGGGAGCAGGACAUAUCCACCGGCCUUACGGUGAACGAUGGCCAUGAGACUCCAUGGCAGUAUAAUCUGAACCAAGUACAAAUAGGGGCUAUGUUUGAUACAAAGAAAAAAUUGACGUAUGCGGUGAUAAAGUGGGCUAUGUCUACGCAGAGGGUUUUCAAGACACACAUAUCAAGUCCAACAAACUAUACCGUGAAAUGUGUUGUAACAGGUUGUCCUGGGAAGGUGCACGGUCACGUGCCGAAGUAUGACAUCCACUGGGUUGUCACCAUUGUCGUCCCACAUAAUUGUGUGAGGACGAACCUGCUGGUGAAGCAUCCGAACCUGACUUCAAGUCUCAUUGCGCAACUCAUGUAUACUGAGAUAGUAGAGAAGAAAGAUAUGGAAGCAAAACACAUCCAGACAGCAGUGAAGGUCAGAUGGAAUUAUGUCAUUGCUUAUGGGAAGGCUUGGAGGGCUAAGCAGAAGGCUAUGGAGGAAAGGUUUGGGACGUUCUUCGACUCAUAUGAUAAUGUUGUCCGUCUCCUGGGCAUACUGAAGGAAAGGAAUCCGGGCACUUAUGUGAACGUACAACACAUGAGGUUGCUGAGUAUACAAGAUUUCAAGGUGUUGAAACGAGUGUUCUUCUCAUUUGCUAUGUGCAUCGAAGCUUUCCGGCAUUGUCCUCCUGUUAUGUUUGUGGAUGGUACAUUCCUGACCGGUCAGUAUAGAGGGCAAAUCCUUACUGCUAUUGGUGUGGACGGGAACAAUCAAAUCAUCCCACUUGCCAUGGCAUUUGUGGAGGGUGAGAACUUUCUCAGCUGGGUUUGGUUCUUCCGCCAAGUGAAAAUUGCCAUCGUGAAGGACCGACCAAACGUGUGUGUCAUUCAUGACAGACAUGCUGGUAUAUUGAAGGCCGUGAAGACACUUCGGAAUCCAGCAGAUGACGAACCAACACCUUGGAGGGACUUGCAGAGCCGGUGGUGCAUGCGCCAUCUUGGGGCUAAUUUUUUCUCACAGUUCAAGAACAAGCGGUUGAUGAACUUGUUCAAAAAAUUAUGCAAGCAGAGCCAGCAGCGGAAAUACGAAUUUAUUUGGUCAAAACUAGAUGAGUUUACUAAGAAGCAGGUCUGCAUUCAUAAUAUACCUAACCAUGUAUCGCGCAUGUCAAUCUCAGGGACAGUCGCCUAG
rnacentral:rRNA from 1 species